rnacentral:misc_RNA from 1 species
GAUGAAGAACGCAGCGAAAUGCGAUACUUGGUGUGAAUUGCAGAAUCCCGUGAACCAUCGAGUCUUUGAACGCAAGUUGCGCCCGAGGCCUCCUGGUCGAGGGCACGUCUGCCUGGGUGUCACGCAUCGUCGCCCCCGCUCCCCUCGGCUCACGAGGGGCGGGGGCGGAUACUGGUCUCCCGCGCGCUCCCGCUCGCGGCUGGCCCAAAAUCGAGUCCCCGGCGACGGUCGCCACGACGAGCGGUGGUUGAGAGACCCUCGGACACUGUCGUGCGCGCGCCCGUCGCCCCCGGGAUCUCCUGGACCCUCGGGCAUCGACCUUUCUAGGAUGCUCUCGUUGCGACCCCAGGUCAGGCGGGACUACCCGCUGAGUUUAAGCAUAUCAAUAAGCCGGAGGA